rnacentral:lncRNA from 10 species
ACACUGUUGCCUGGGCUAGAGUGUAGUGGCACGAUCUCAGCUCACUGCAACCUCUGCCUCCCAGAUUCAAGAGAUUCUCCUGCCUCAGUUUCCCGAGCAGCUGGGAUUACAGAUGCCCGCCACCACACCCAGCUAAUUUUUUGUUUUUUUAGUAGAGACAGGGUUUCCCCAUGUUGGCCAGGCUGGUCUCAAACUCCUGACCUCAUGAUUUGCCCGCCUUGGCCUCCUAAAGUGAUGGGAUUACAGGCGUGAGCCACCGCACCCGGCCUGUAUUCAUAUAUAUAUAUAUAUGGAAGUACAGGCUCCAAAGCCCCCAUACUAUUUCCUGUUUCCUCUCCCUUGCACUGGUACAUGUUUGAUAUAUACAACUUUUCAAUAUUUUGGCAGCUUCACCUGUGAUUUUUUUUUAAUAAAAAAAGAAGGGGCAGGAGGUGACAGUAAUCAUCACAAUUUAUUUUUUCUUGUCACAUGAAAAGAAACAAAUCUUUGUGAAAUAAUUUAAUACUUUGAAGGGUGACCCAGAAACACAAGUAAUGGCUAUCAAUGCCUCUUCCAGCCAGUGAAGCUACAAGAACAAGGGAGUCCAAUGCUUCUUUUGAAGAAAGCUUUAAAUUCAUGGCACUAUUUUGGAAUAUGAGAAAAAUAUUUUAAAAUGCAUUUCUUGGCCUCUCUUGUUUUGUUUUGUUUCCUUCCUGCUGCUCUUGGGGAGUAUUAAUAAAAGAGAUGGGAUAAGUGAAAAACACAAGACAGAGAACUAUUUAUUUUUUUUCAGUUUUUUUGCCACUGAAAUGAAAAGAUUAUAAUAAUAAUAGUCACCAUUUAUUAAACUCUGCUAAGCACAUCAUGGCCUGAUUCAAUCCUUUUAGCAUCAUACAAGGAAGUUAUUAUCUCCCCUUUACAGAGAAGGCUGUGGCUGGGGAGGUAGGGGUUGAGAACUUGCCUGAAGUCAUAGCACAUCCUAGCUGCUAGGAACUAUUUUCUGAGCUAGGCUCUUCACACUGACCAUCUUAUAAAGUCUCUCACAGCAUCCCUGGAAUAAAUGCAUUAUUGUCAACAUUUUUAUAACUUACAAAAGGCUAAGUGGUAAAUUGAGGGUAGAAUUCAAACUGAGGUCUUUCCAACUCCAAAACAUGUGCUGUGAUGACCGUGCCAUAAACUUUCUCGUACCUUGUCAGAACAAAUGUACUGAAACUACCAUAGUUUCAGAACUGUAAUAAUCGAUGCAUAGUCCCCAUUGGUAGAUUUAGUGUUUUACAAUAGAGUUUCUGAAAAGCAGUUUUAAAAUACCCUUCAGCAAGCAUUUACUGAGGCCUCGUCUAGGCCAGGACUUGGGCUGGACAUUGCAGGCAUGGCCACAGUAACGAUGACUCAGAACUUGCCCCCAAGGAGUUCACAGUCUGGGAGCAUUGGGGAGAGGAGCAGAAAGUAAACUAGAGAGCACAAAACACAAAGUCACACUCUUGUAUAACAUACACUCAGUAAAAAGGAGGCCCACUAGAGCAGGGUUUCUCAACCUGGCACUAUUGCAUUUGGGGCUGUCUGAGUCUUGCUGUGGGGGCUGCCUGUGCAUUGUGGGGUAUUAGCAGCAUCUCUGAAUUCUACUCAGUAGAUACCAGUAGCCCCCCCACAACCAAAAAUGUCUCUGGACAUUGCCAAAUGUCUCCUGAGGUUGGGGGAGUGAGAAUCACUGCCCCACAGUUACAUCCUGGCAGAGUUAAGCAAUGAAACAAAAUCACUGGCCAUUAAUAAUACUAUAUGAUUUUCAAUUAAGAGCUUAUUUACACACCAAGUACCUUAGAAACCUGAUCUCAUCCCAUCCUCAUCAAAACCUUAUGGUGUGUACAAGCUGGAAUGAUGCCUAUUUUAUAGGUUAGGGCACUGAGGCACAAAGAGUUUAGUGGAUGCCUAGCUGCACAGUAGUGACCGAUAGAGCAGGCAUUUGAAGCCUGCCCUGCCAUCUUAGUCAGUGCACCGAGAUAUGAAGAGCAUUUUUAAAGUGUGCUAGGCUCUUUCAUUUUCAUUACAUGUCCACUGAUAUGGUUUGACUCUGUGUCCCCACCGAAAUCUCAUGUCGAAAUGCAAUCCCCACAUGUUGGAGGAGGGACCUGGUGGGAAGUGAUUGGAUCAUGGAGGUGGAUUUCCCUCCUACUGUUCUCGUGAUAGUGAGUGAGUUCUCAUGAGAUCCAAUGGUUUAAAAGUGUGUGGCACUUCCUCCCUUCACUCUCUCUCUCUCUCCGGCCACCAUGUGAAGAUAUGCGUGCUUCCCCUUCACCCUUCUGCCAUGAUUGUUUAAAUUGCCAAUUGUACAAUUUGAGGAAUGCAAGUAAACUGCCCUCAAAUAACUUUUCUAGGUAUUUUUCAAAAAAUUCUAAAGGGAAUAUUUGCUUUCUAGGCAAGGUUUUUAAAUAUUUCAUUAUCUAGGCUUAGAUAGCUUGGAUAGAAUAGUUAUUAUUUUAUAUUCAAUCUUUUACUUUAGCAGACUAUUAGGAUAUGCUUGUUGUGACUCAGUUUUUUGUAUCUACCAUCUGUUGGUUUAUUACCCAAAUCUAUAAGUAAACAUCAACAUAGGAAGCUUUACUGUCACUGAAGCUUUAUUAAAUAAAUGAGUUUAAUUGUGGAUUGUUAUCUGUGAAGUCAGGACCUGGGAGAGAAAAAAGCUACCAGCAACAUUCAGACUGAGAGAGGCCAAAAUACUAAUUCAUAAUUAGCCUGGUACAUAUGAAGGAUCAAAAAGAACAGGACUGUAUGUCUGACCUCUGACAGGUAUGUAUCAGUGUACACAGCCACGCCAGAUGAUGUCAGGUGGUGUGCUGUGGUCUCAAUGACUUGGUUUGAAGGAAGAAUCACUUGUAGGUUGGACACUGUUUAUAUGCCUGGCUCAAGUUUGCCCUUGUAACCAUUUAAGCGGAAACAAAGGAGAGCCAGAUCUGCUAGUUAGUGUAAUAAACCUCCCACAAGAAGAAGGGAGACUGGCCAACUUAAAAUGCAAGGCAAGUUAUUUUCAUGCACUUGUAAAUUACAUUAUGAAUAAGUGUUGGGAAACAUUGGGCUGAUAAAAAAUUUACAAUUGAUAUCUUCAAUUACUACAUGAAGCAAAUAUGAAGUAAAGAACCAACCUGAAUGUAAUCACACUAUAGAUAUUUCACAUAUUUCCACAACUGUUUCCACUAAUUCUGACAGAAUGUCCCCCAUUCACCACAAAUAUGUUUGCCCUAUAUUAAAAUAAUAAGCUAUUUAAAUAACAAGCCUUGUGUUCCUGUAUGCAUAGAAAAUGGUUCAAUUCUUUCUGGCUCAAAUCCUUUAUAAGCAAUCAAACAUCCUACCCCAUUGUCAAUCUGGCCAUCUCCUACUCAUCUUUUUAGGUUUAUACUUAAAUGUCACUUUGAUAAUGGUUUAUUCCCUAACCUCUUAAUUGUAAUUAAGUCCCCAUAUACAUUCCCUCUUCAAAUUUGCACAUUUUAUUCCAAGCAUUUAUAGCAAUUUAUAAUUUUAUGUGUGUGCUUAUUUCUUUAAUGCCUGUCUUCUCAUUUAAUAUCUUUUCUACCCCUGUAUAUCCAGGCCCUACCACCAUAGUAGAGACUCAGUAUGUAUACUUAAUGAAGGAAUAAUGAAUACAUCAGCAAGAGAAAUAAGAGUGACCAUAUGUUCCUUAAGAGAAGCAAAGAGCAGCUCCUGUUCCUGCUGGAAUGAGUCUCCAUUCCUUGCAACAGAAGUGUCCUAAGUUAUAGCCAGAGGACGGGGGCACAUUGACAAAACAUAAAGCGGAUAUGAUAAUAACAAGGUACCAUUCCAGCAAGAACAUCUGAAGAAAGAAGCAGUGUUGUUUAUCUUUCCUUCAUCUAUUCUGAAACUAAAAUCCUUAACCAAAUUUAUUUCCGAAGUUUAACCCUUUAAUAAACUGGCCUCUGACUCCACCUGGUGGAGAUACAUAAAUCUAUGAAAAUAAACCAAUCCAAAUGAAGAUUUUAAAGUCAUCAGCUCUCUUUCAUGUCUCAAAGAAAAAACACAUAUCCCGAAAUUCAAAUAGAUGACCUUCUCGGAUGUGUUAUAGGCACUCAGAAGCCCCAAAGAAAAAAUAGUUUGAGUUGAUCAUUUGACUGUUGCUCUCAGCCUUCAUUUCUGCCUUUCUAGGUUGUGUCAGGCAUUUUGACUGUCCAGGGGCCCUGCAUAUUCUAUUUUCCUAGUUACUUGCUAAGGUUUGAAUAUUUGUCCCCCUCCAAAACUCAUGUUGAAAUUUAAUCCCAAAUGUGGCAGUAUUGAGAGGUGGGGCUUUUCAGAGGUGAUUGGGUCAUGAGAGCUCUGUUCUCAUGAGUGGAUUAAUCCAUUCAUGGAUUAAUGGAAUAAUGGACUAAUGGAUUAAUGAGUUAUCAUAGGAGUGGGACUGGUGCCUUUAUAAUAAGAGGAAGAGAGACCUGAGCUAGCACACUCACCCUCUUCACCAUGUGAGGUCCUGUGCCACCAUGGGACUCUGCAGAGUCUCAUCAGCAAGAAGCCACUUACCAGAUGUGGCCCCUUGACCUUGGGCUUCUCAGCUUCCAUAACUGUAAGAAAUAAAUUUCUUUGUAACUUGCCCAGUUUCAAGUAUUCUGUUAUAAGGAACUGAAAAUGGACUAAGAUACUUUCCUAUUGGCUUCUGGUUAGUUUCUAUCAAUAAGAAUUACUGGUAGAAGUUUGAAAGGUAGGAGUGGAGAGAUGGGACCUUUUUUAUUUUAGUUUCUAUUGGCAUUUUCCAGCAGCAAGGAACAAUGGGCAUUUCAUCAUCAUCUUUUAGCAUUUCCAGCACCCACAGCAAGGAGUCCUUUCACCUGCUUAGUAGCAGCCCUUCAGUAAUCCUAGCAUCUAUUUUAGGUGGUGUUUCAUUUGUGGUCUCAGGACUGGCCCAGGUAGUUCUCUUCUCCAUGAUUCUGGACUCUGGUGAUUCCAUCACCUCCACGUACGCCUUCAGCCAGAAGGACUGUCGCUGUUCCCAGCAGCCAUUUAGCAUAGUUACCUAAGUGUAACCAAAUUCCUGUAUUAUAUUCACUUGUUUGAAAAACCUUGAGUGAUUUCUGACCCACUUCUGUCUCAAGGCCUGAAUAUUCUGAUUCAGAUGAAUUUCAGAAAAUGGAAAAAAAAACUUAGUGAAUAAAAAAGAUUAAAUAGUUUUUAGAAAACCAUAGGAGACAAAAAAGCAACUGGAAGUCACACACACACACACACACACACACACAUUCUUUUAACUUUAUAAGUUAUAAUAAAUUAUGGUAAAAGAGUGACAAGUUUACCUACAUGAAUAUUGAAGCCUUUGUAAAAUCUUUAAAGAAAAAAGGGUACCAAUACAACAGAAAAUUUCAGACUGGAAAAAUAUUGGUAGUCAUCGUCUUAGUUUGAGCAUUUAUCAAUUGCAUUAUAGCAAAACCCUCCAAACUGCUCUCUCUGCUUUGAUUGUCUCUUUUUUUUCCAAAUCUUUUCUGCAUAUUGUCAAAGUUACAUUUCUAAGGAGCAAAUUAAAUGCUGUCACUAUGCUCUUUGAAUUAUCAGUCAACAAAGAGAUUUUUUAAACUAAUUAAUUUAUAAUUAUCCACAGAAAUACAUAUUAAAAGGACAGUGAGGUGUCUGCUAACUCUUUACUCUCUUGGAUGCAGCUUAAUUUCUUCUUCCAGGGACACUUUUCUGACAAUUUUGUUCUUAUACAAUUAUAGCAUUUUUUUUUCUUUUUUUGAGACAGGGUUUCACUCUGUCACACAGGCUGGAGUGCAGUGGCAUGAUCUUGGCUCACUGCAACCUCCGCUUCCUGGGUUCAAGCAAUUCUCAUGCCUCAGCCUCCAAAGUAGCUGGGAUUACAGGCAUGCACCUUCACAUUCAGCUCAUUUUUUUUUUUCUGUAUUUUUAGUAGAGACAGGGUUUCACCAUGUUGGCCAGGCUGGUAUUGAACUUCUGACCUCAAAUGAUCCGCCCACCUCGGCCUCCCAAAGUGCUGGUAUUACAGGCGUGAGCCACUGCGCCUGGCCAGUUAUAGCAAUUUUAAAAACAAUAUUCUAAUCAUGUCCUUUGCAG